rnacentral:rRNA from 1 species
GAUGAACGCUAGCUACAGGCUUAACACAUGCAAGUCGAGGGGAAACGGCAUUGAGUGCUUGCACUCUUUGGACGUCGACCGGCGCACGGGUGAGUAACGCGUAUCCAACCUUCCCAUUACUGUGGGAUAACCUGCCGAAAGGCAGACUAAUACCGCAUAGUCUUCGAUGACGGCAUCAGAUUUGAAGUAAAGAUUUAUCGGUAAUGGAUGGGGAUGCGUCUGAUUAGCUUGUUGGCGGGGUAACGGCCCACCAAGGCGACGAUCAGUAGGGGUUCUGAGAGGAAGGUCCCCCACAUUGGAACUGAGACACGGUCCAAACUCCUACGGGAGGCAGCAGUGAGGAAUAUUGGUCAAUGGACGGAAGUCUGAACCAGCCAAGUAGCGUGCAGGAUGACGGCCCUAUGGGUUGUAAACUGCUUUUGUAUGGGGAUAAAGUUAGGGACGUGUCCCUAUUUGCAGGUACCA